GAUGAACGCUGGCGGCGUGCCUAAUACAUGCAAGUCGAGCGAACAGACGAGGAGCUUGCUUCUCUGACGUUAGCGGCGGACGGGUGAGUAACACGUGGAUAACCUACCUAUAAGACUGGGAUAACUUCGGGAAACCGGAGCUAAUACCGGAUGAUAUUUUGAACCGCAUGGUUCAAUAGUGAAAGACGGUCUUGCUGUCACUUAUAGAUGGAUCCGCGCUGCAUUAGCUAGUUGGUAAGGUAACGGCUUACCAAGGGAACGAUGCCUAGCCGACCUGAGAGGGUGAUCGGCCACACUGGAACUGAGACACGGUCCAGACUCCUACGGGAGGCAGCAGUAGGGAAUCUUCCGCAAUGGGCGAAAGCCUGACGGAGCAACGCCGCGUGAGUGAUGAAGGUCUUCGGAUCGUAAAACUCUGUUAUUAGGGAAGAACAGAUGUGUAAGUAACUGUGCACAUCUUGACGGUACCUAAUCAGAAAGCCACGGCUAACUACGUG
rnacentral:rRNA from 1 species